UGGCUCUCUCCCAGUUGCUACAAGAAGU
rnacentral:piRNA from 1 species